CGGUAAUACGGAGGUGGCGAGCGUUACUCGGAUUCACUGGGCUUAGAGCCGGUGCAGGUGGCUGUGCAAGUCCGGAGUGAAAUCCCCCGGCUCAACCGGGGAAUUGCUUUGGAUACUGCAUGGCUUGAGGCAAGCAGGGGCCAGUGGAACGUUUGGUGUAGCGGUGAAAUGCGUAGAUAUCAAACGGAACGCCGGUGGUGAAGACGGCUGGCUGGGCUUGUCCUGACACUCAGACCCGAAAGCGUGGGGAGCGAACCGGAUUAGAUACCCGGGUAGUCCACGCCCUAAACGAUGCGCACUAGAUUCGGGAGCCUCUGACGGUUUCCGGGUCGAUGUGAAAACGUUAAGUGCGCCGCCUGGGGAGUACGGCCGCAAGGUUAAA
rnacentral:rRNA from 1 species